rnacentral:rRNA from 1 species
AGAGUGAACGCUGGCGGUAGGCCUAACACAUGCAAGUCGAACGGCAGCACAGUAGGAGCUUGCUCUUACGGGUGGCGAGUGGCGGACGGGUGAGGAAUACAUCGGAAUCUACCUUUUGGUGGGGGAUAACGUAGGGAAACUUACGCUAAUACCGCAUACGCCCUUCGGGGGAAAGCCGGGGACCAGCAAUGGCCUGGCGCUGAUAGAUGAGCCGAUGUCGGAUUAGCUAGUUGGUGAGGUAAUGGCUCACCAAGGCGACGAUCCGUAGCUGGUCUGAGAGGAUGAUCAGCCACACUGGAACUGAGACACGGUCCAGACUCCUACGGGAGGCAGCAGUGGGGAAUAUUGGACAAGUGGGCGCAAGCCUGAUCCAGCCAUACCGGCGUGGGUGAAGAAGGCCUUCGGGUUAGUAAACGUCCCGUUUUAGGUUAGGGAAAAGUAAAAGCAACGUUUACGGUUAAAGUUACCCGGGUUAGUUCUACGGUAACCGGUAACCCGAAAGAAUAAAGCGAACCGGCUAACGUCGCGCCA